CCAGCACGACCGCAAACAUCUCAACAGGUUAUUUCCUGCAUAUGCCACUCUGCUCUUUCAUCACUGUCCUGCAAUAUCUGUCUUCCGUCUCUUCUUUACAGACGAGCAAAAGAACAGGAAAAAACAUGCAGUUUGAUUUUAGCAGAUCAACUGAACUCUUAUACCAGCUACUGUACGUUUAAUGUCAUGAUGAGAUGACAUGAAGGCUAGUGGCCAAUACUAGAAUCCAUAAUUAUUCUAUUUUGUUGUCAGGGUAAAAAAAACAACUCUUCACUGUUUUUUUUAUGUUACAAAAAUGUGUAUUUAAUGUUUGGAUUGUUUUCUUUUAUUCAUUUCUCAAGCUGUGAUUUAUGGCAUGAAACAGCCCAGUGUUUAGCAAAUUCUGUGUCAGUGCAUUUUCUUGUACUGAACAAUUUACAAUAAAGUGACUAUUAUUACUUCAGGAAUCUCCUUCAGGCAUAGACUAAACAAACAUGUCCAAGACCAUCUGUUUUAGAACAUAUACUUGGUACAAAAUAUCAGUGGACACCAUGAUGAAUGCAAAGCAAUCUAUGAAUUUAACAUUUCUCAAAUUGAGUUAAAUAGAUGCUGUGAAUUGUAAACUGUAAAUAGUUGGAAACAACAUGACUUAACAUAUACAGCGGUAGCUACAAGUAGUAAUCCUGCUCUCUCACUCUCUCCCUCUUUGUCCAGUGAAAAUAAUCCAUUCCAGUUCAUAUUUUUCUGAAGUUUAGUAACUUUUUGGCACAAUCAUUGUGAAACAAAAACACAGUUGUAAUGGCACCAAAUUAUGUUACACAUUGAGAGGUGCAAGACGUCACAUCACAGACGAACCAACUGGGCCAAACAGAAUUCAUGUGAUCCACCAUAUUAUUAGUAGACUGGCAGACUGUCCAUGUAGACUGCCCUGAGAUGAACACAGACUGAAAUUCCAUUCAUAUCCUCCUUUGCUUCAGCACAUCUCAGCCUUAAAGAUAAUCCAUUCAUUUAAAUAAUUCACUUUCUGUACUUAUGUCUGUACUGCCAGCCCAACUAGACAGUCAAUUAGCCAAUCAAUCAGCGAGUCAGCCAGCCAAUCAGCCAGCAGCCAGUCAACCAGCCAGCAGCUAACCAGUCAUUCCACCAGUCAUUCCGCCAAUCAGCCAACAGCCAAUCAGCCAGCCAAUCAGCCAGCAGCCAACCAGCUGUUCAGCCAAUCAGCCAGCAGCCAACCAGCCAUUCAGCUAACCAGCCAGCAGCCAACCAGCUAUUCAGCCAACUGCAGCCAAACAGCUAUUCGGCCAGUCAUCCAGCCAGCCAGCUAAUCAGCCAGUCAACCUGACAGUCUCCUGAAAAACCCAGUGACAGCUGUCAGUCAGGACAAACCCCAUAGUCACACUGAGGACUCAGUGACAGCUGUCAGUCAGGACCAACCCCAUAGUCACACUGAGGACUCAGUGUUGUGGAACAUCUUGUCCUUCAGUGUCCUCAGGCUGCAUUGGAGGUUGGAGCUGGUCUCACUCUUCAGCCCCUCUGAGAAAUUGACGUCAUACGCCCGGCUGCCCACUGACUUCCUCUUGAUUGAGUUCUGGAUGGUCUCUGAGGUGAAGUAGUAGAUGAUUGGGUCAAAGCAGCAGUUGGACACGGCGAUGCAGAGGGCGAUGGGGUAGAUGGUUCGGACCACGGACUCCACGGAGCAGCCCCUCAGCGUCCCGGUACGCACCAGAGCGUAGAACACCAGGUUGACAUUGUAGGGGAUGAAACAGAAGCAGAAGAUGAACAGGUGUACCACAAUCAUGCGAAGGAUCUUGGUUUUGUUCAGCUUCCCCCCGCGGUUGAUGGCGUUGGGCCUCCUCAGGGUCUGAAGGACCAUGACAGAGCAUACCACAUUGAGGAGCAGGGGAAUCAGGAACCCCACCGUCUCAAUGAAAAUCACCACCUUGGAAAGGUGGGACUUCCACUGGUUCGAGGAGAAGUUCUCAAAGCAGAAUCGCGAGGCAGACAGGUUGUUUUUGCGAGACGUGGUUUCCAGUUUGAAUCCCGUCGGCAGACUUCCCGCCAACACCAGCACCCAGACCGCCACACACACUAUCUUGGCGUUCCUCUUGGUUCUUAGCGCCUGUGACCGGAACGGAUGGACUAUGGCCAAAAAACGAUCCACACUAAUGCAGGUGAGGAACAGCAUACUGCCAUACAUGUUGGUGUAGAACAGCGAGACAGAGAGCUUGCAGAACAUGCUGCCGAACGGCCAGUCCUGGUUGAUGAAGUAGAAGACCCUGAGAGGCAGCGUGAAGACGAACAGAAGGUCCGACACCACCAGGUUCAUCAUGUAGGUGGUGGUCUCGUUCCUCAGCUUCAGGGAACAGGUGAAUAUGUACAUGGCCGCCACGUUGGUGAUCAGACCCACCACGAACACCAGGCUGAACACUGUGCUGUACAAGGGGUACUUGAACCCGUCACUCUUGGUGCAGUUGGAGCUGUACGACUGGGAGGAGUUGUCGUGCGGCAGCAGGUUGGUCGGGGCGCUGGUUCGCAUCGUGGUGAAGUCGGACGCAGACAGCAGAGGGAACAGGCUGGUGUUGUGCAUUUUAGACUGAAGGAAACCAGGAGCAGUUGUGGGGGAUCAUUCGGUUAUGUAAGAGCUAUACAAUGAAAGGAUUUUGCUCAACAACUCUUGGCCCAAUCAAGCGUGGACGUCGGACACAAAGGCGGAACUCAGAAUGCAAGGCCGGAUGCCUGGUAACACUGCAGAGGCUGUCCCUCCGUAAUCUAUGACAGGGAUUUAGAGAAGCACUGAAACACAAAGGUUUUCAUUCAAAACAUCCCACGUUCAUAGAGUGGAGAGCAGUGGUUGCAGCACAUGAUCACAGAGUUUCCGUCCCCAUGUUGUGAGAGGGGCUGUCGGUGGUUCUUUGGGAUUAGCUCAUAGUUAAACGAUCCCUCCGUGCCCAAAGACGGACUGCCGACCACGGAGAGCCGCUUGCCCCUGCUCCUCCCCCCGUUGGAGCUGCUUCUCGCCUCCGCCUGAAGGGCUUUCUGACGGAGCGAGGGAGGUGUACUUACUCCGACUGUCACACAACGUUCCCUCUGGUUGACUCAACCCGGAAUGAUCCAGUCCAAGUCCUCACAGGAAAAAGGCUUUAAUAUUGAAAUAAUCCAUACGUGGUGAUUUCUUUCUUUAAUUGUGCAACUUGGUUUUUUUUUGUUAAAAAAGUUAUUAAAGAUUAUAGAUGCUCCUCAGUCUUGUUUUUCCUCUGAUAAAUGAUCCAGGUUCUCUGUCGCAGCCCUCUUGUGUAGAUUUGUAGAGGCAGUUGAUGGUGUUGCUGUGCCAGUGUCACAGUAGAGGUUCUAAAGUCCAACAACGUGUUGCUUUGUCUUGAAUGGAGAGCAGAGUGGAGGCACAGACAGAGCUCAGCCCUCAACAGUCCUUCGUGUUUAAGUGAGUGAGAAUGUGUGAGUUUCUGUUUCUAUUUCAGAUUUGUUUCCUGUUCACUCCCGCCCCUCUGACUGUCUUCAACUGCCUCACGGACAACUUCCCCUCAGGGAAACAGGGAUUGUGAGCUCUCUAUUGGCCUCGGCUUGGCAGUCUGGAACAUCUCAAGUCUCCAUUGUCAUGGAUGAGCUCAGAUGGAGGGGAGAGGAAUUAAGGGAAGAUAAAUAAUUGGCCUCAGAGGUCUUUAGCCUUCUCCAAACCUUAUAUAAGCUGGCAUUUCACUACAGGUUUGAAAGUCCAAGAAAAGCUAUAAAAAUAUAUGGUAGGUUUAUAUGUAAGACAAAAUGUUAAUGUCAACACAGUGAGGGAUUCCACAGUAUUAGUAUGUGUCAGAGUGAUUGUGUUAUUUUCCUUUAUUGAGAUGGUUUCUGUACAGUGCAAGAACUAUGACUUUAGUUUGACUGUUGUUUAAGGUUUUCUUGUAUGUGGAUGUAUUAUUUAACCAAAGCUUCUUCAGUUGUGAAUUAACAAAC
ensembl:lncRNA